rnacentral:lncRNA from 1 species
GUCUGUUGCUGUAAAAGCAGCUGUCUUGCUGCCUGGAGUGCCUGCUGUUGUUGCAGAUGCAGCAGUUCCACUGUGCUUACUUCAGUGCUCGUGUCACCACUUGAUCUUCCAUCUCUGCUGCCAGCAUCUAAUUGGCUGCUUAGAGUGCUCAUUCCAUUUUGAUUCAUUGAACUGUUGCUUAUUGUCUCUGUCGCAGAUUCCUGCAUCAUGAC